UUGCCAUAUAUGUAACUGAACUUGACUCACUUCUAAAAGAGAAAUGAAUGUAAAAUGUCGGACAGGGUGUACGUAUUAGUAUCAAAUAUUCCACCUGUUUUCCACACACUAGAUCUCAGACGAUUUUUCUCCGAUUUUGUUGAAAAUGACAAGUUCAUUUGCUUCCAUUACCGUCAUCGACCUCACAAGCAAGAACCAGUCAGAAACGAAAGUGAUAACAAUACAUCCACAAUUAUCAUACCAGCUGCGAAGGACAAGAAAAUCUCCGAACAAAGUGAGGACAAAUCUGCCAAACCGAUCGAAAAAUCCGCUAGGACUGGUGUAGCCAAAACCUUUGGUGAACAAGUGACUGGCCGUGUUCACCAAUCACGUGAUCAGGAGCCACCUGACCGGCCCAGUUGCUGUUGUGUAGUUCAGCUCGAUGCUCAACAUGUAAAUUCAUUCCUUACUAGUUUCCACAGAAAACACUGGUUAGAUUCAACUGAUACAGAGCUAGAUACAAGAUGUUUCAUCGCUAAAAUUGCAAACGACAAACACAGUGAACUGAGUAUACUACCCGAGCAGCGACCCCCGAAUAUAAUGCCCCGGGGUAAUGUUGGAACAUCAACUAAAUUUUUCCUGGAAGCUAUUCGAGACUGUAGACUCCCCGCUAAACUUAUAGGAAAACUUGGUCUGGAGUUCCCUAAAAGUAAACACCGGAAGUACGGUGAAGUGCCGUUUGAGUAUGCUCCAACAAGAACCAAAGGAUGGAAGUCCCUCGAUAGAACUAAACUACAGGCCCUGAACACUGCUGGGCCAAGAAUCGAGGUUGGAGUAGAUGCUGGUAAGGAGGAUUCAGGAGCAGAGGAUGAUGAUGAUACUUGUGAAGAGUGGGAGAGACAUGAAGCUCUGCAUGAUGAUGUUCACGCCAAUAGAACUAUUGGAAGACAGGUGAACUCUAGCAGCUACCUAGCGGAGGGUGGAGACCUGGACCAGCAGCCUGGAACCAAGGAGAAACCAUUCGAGGAGGAAAUAGAGUUGGUUUGGGAGAAGGGAGGCUCAGGGCUUAACUUCUAUACAGACGCACAGUACUGGAAGGCCCAGGAAGGAGAUUUUGACGAGCAGACUACGGAUGACUGGGAUGUGGAUAUGUCGGUCUACUACGAGAAGAAUACAGUUCAUGAUAUGGAUGCUGUCGAUCGGUAUGAUAUGCGAAGAUCUGAAUUCCUCCGCGCCGGAAAGCACUCAGAAUCUGUUUUCAAAAAACGAGAAAAUCCGCAAACCUCAAAACCCGGUCCUUCACGCCCAACAACCUCGCGGGGUCAACACAGAAGAGGAUUAAAAAGACAAAUCGGAGAUUUCGAGGUGUUCACUAGAGGAGUAGGAGGACGGAUGAUGAAGGAGGCUGGAUGGAAGGAGGGAAUGGGACUAGGAGCCAAAAACUCCGGAAUACCGACUGCUAUUGAUGGAGAAGAGGACGGCCAAGGGACCUGGAACAAACGAGGACUAGGAUACCAUGGACAGAAGAUAGUAUUUGCCCCUCCCAGACCUCCAGUAGGUCCUCCGCCUCAACCUCCGGCUCCCGGGGGGAUCCGGAUAUCCUCGGUUUACUCGAGGCCGGAACAGCUGGAUCAAUCAGAGAGGGUGGAGAGGUCGAAUCCUAAAGUUUAUGUAAAGUUUCGAGAUCAGCCAAUCAAGUUUCUUGCUGCUGGGAUAGAAGGAGGAAAUAGAAAUAUUGAUAUAUAAUAAGAGGACAUAAGAUCUCACAUGAGAUAUGAACUUAUCAUUACAGAUCUACAUGAGGUUAUGAAAUAAGUGACUUGAACCAUCAUUUGUCAAGGGGAGCAUAACAUACCAUCAAUUAAAAUUCCUUCAGUUAUAGACAUAGAAAAAUAGACUGAACUAACGUGAAUAAAAUGUGAUAUAAAACAAUUUAAAAAAAUAAAAAUAUAAUUGUUUUUCAUGUCU
rnacentral:misc_RNA from 1 species